AGCGCCGCUUCUGUUGGUAAACCCUAGUUCACCGCAUCUAGGGCGCCGCAUCUUCUGCCUCCAGUUGACGAAAGUAUUGUACGGAUUCAAUGGGAACUGAAGAAUGCUGGUUAAAUCUUGAUAGCAUGGUGAUUGUUCAUAGGAAUCUAUCACCAUGCGGAAGAUGAAAUCUGCGAAAGUGAUGCAGGUGAAACAUUUUCAUGCGUGGGCCCACAACACGGACUCUAGCAUCUUGCGCCCGAAUACAGGGAAUGGAUACGGUGUUUCUCUUGAUGACAUUGGCAUGAAAGCCACACUUGAUAAGCUGAUGGAAGAUUACAUAAGCCUUAUUUCAAGAGUUUAAUUUCAGAUACCGAGUUCUCAAGAAACCCCGCAAGAGUCUACCCGCACACCCACCCCUCUUGCUGCUGUUCAACAAACACUGGUGGCAACUAAUCUAGUGACUGAUGAACCUCGAUCAACCCCUCCACCACUGUCUCUUGAACCCAGUGGAAGUAAGUCCUCUACUAAAGCUCGAGCUCAAGUUCAAGCUCGUAACGAUAUGCCUGGCACUGGAACCAGUAGGAAGAAUAAGCUAGACCGUUAUGCACCCAGAAUGACAGUUGAAGAAUUUGAUAGCAUCUUUAAGCGGUGUUCUUUCAAUUCUUUAAAAUACUAGCACCUACUAUACAUAAACUGAAGCAUAGAUGAUUUUAUUUAUGCGUAACAAACAAAUUCGUUCCUGCCGUGAUUCUUUGACUGUGUGAAUGAGAUGGUUACUCCAUUGUUUGAGAAAUCAUUGACUGCUACAGAUACCGGGACGAGUGGGCGCCUUGUGCUGCCAAAAAACUGUGCUGAGGUUAGCAUCAGUGGCUUGUUGACGUGGUUUCUGGAAUCCCAAGGAUGAAACUACGGGUGGUUGUGGACCCAACAAUGCGGUUUGUUGACGUGGUUUUUGGA